GCAUGCGCGAACGGUUCGGUCGAGACCGUUGCGGCCUCCAGCGCGGCAUAGUCGGGAAUAACGGGUUGGAUCAUGCCAUCCUGCAUGUU
rnacentral:tRNA from 1 species